rnacentral:misc_RNA from 1 species
GAUGAAGAACGCAGCGAAAUGCGAUAAGUAGUGUGAAUUGCAGAAUUCAGUGAAUCAUCGAAUCUUUGAACGCACAUUGCGCCCGCUGGUAUUCCGGCGGGCAUGCCUGUUCGAGCGUCAUUUCAACCCUCAAGCCCCCGGGUUUGGUGUUGGGGAUCGGCUCUGCCUUCUGGCGGUGCCGCCCCCGAAAUACAUUGGCGGUCUCGCUGCAGCCUCCAUUGCGUAGUAGCUAACACCUCGCAACUGGAACGCGGCGCGGCCAUGCCGUAAAACCCCAACUUCUGAAUGUUGACCUCGGAUCAGGUAGGAAUACCCGCUGAACUUAAGCAUAUCAAUAAGCGGAGGA